UUCUCAAUAACAUCUAUGAUCGCAUUAAACAUACUAAUAAAUCGAGUAAUUAUCAUUAGAUGUGAGCCCCAUCUAGUAUCACCUGGGCGUGUCAAAAUCAUUUCUUGAAACUGACCAGUUCUACCAGAAAGUUCCCCAAUAUGAAGCCUCUCCAGAAUUUCAGAAUGAUAACUUGUUCGAAGAGCACCUACACGUUUACAUGAUGCACCUUAAAUAAAUCACCAAGCAUAACAUUCCUAUGUGCCACAGAAACAAGUGUAUACUGAAGCUGGUGAGCAAAGCAAUGAACAUACAUAGCAUAUGAGUUCUCUUUUAAAAUUAAAGCUUUUAAGCUAUUGAACUCACUUGACAUAUUGCUUGCUCCAUCGUAAUCUUGACCUCUCAAGCUAGAUAUGUUCAACCCAUGUGUAGAAAAUAUUGCAUCAAUGGCAUCCUUGAGUGAUUGGGCACAAGUAUUAGUGAUAUGGGAAAUGCACAACAAACGCUCCUUCACUUGCCACUUUUGACAACAUACCUUAAAACAACUGUCAUUUGUUCUUUUAUAGAAUUAUCACGAGCCUCAUCAACUAAAUUGAAAAUAGACCUUGUCGUCCCUACAACACAACAAUUAACUAAAUCCUUAUGGAUGCUUGGUGAAGUUGUUUAGUCAUUUCCAAGUGCAUUAUUAAAUACUACUUCAUUAAUUUCCUUGCAACGAGCUGCAUACCAAUUUAGUAGCUCAAUAGAUUUUCUUUAUUAAGAGAGACUUUCAAUUCAUCAUGACCAUAAGAUGGCAAUCCUUGCAUUAAGAGGAAUCUAGUACAAUCUAGCACUGCAAUCAACCUUGUCCUAUAACUUUUUUGUUGACUAAAACUUUGGUUAGAAAUAACAUAGGAGAUAUUUUGUUUUUGAUUCAUCAAGUUGGUACACUUUGAAGAAGCUUGAUUAUGAGCACUAUCAAUGAGCCCGACAUGAUAUUUCAAUAUAUUUUUGUGCUUCCAAUCCCUAAAGCUGGUCUUAGUUAAUAUAUGUUCACCCAAUUGAUCCCCUCUAUCAGGUUUGAACAAGUAGCAAUGCAAACAAUAAGCCGCAUCAUUUUCUAUACUGUACUCCAAUCAAUAAAAUUUAGAAUACCAUUCUUUUCGAAAACACAUAUUAUCAUUUCCCAUCCGUUCUCUUGGAAAGUCAUGCCCAUGUGGUUGACAAUGACCUUUUUCCAAUUAUAUCAUCCUAACAUCAUCUUUGAUAUUAGGAUUAUAUGACUCGAUAGGGGGACGUUUUUCUGGAUCAGAUACAAUAUCAUCCACAUUGAAUUGAGCCUAAGAAUUCUUUGUGUCAUUUAACAACUUGUGUGCUUGGCUAGAAACACUACUAGAACUAGAAACACAACUAGAACUAGGAGAACUAGGUAUAGACUUUCAUUUCGGUUGAAAAAAUCGUUCCAUAAUCUGCAAAAUGCCCCAAUUUAAUUUUCAAUUAGAAUUGAUUAAAAAAUCAACAAUUCAACAUUCAAGUUUGGAUUGAGCAUAUCUAGACAAAUCAACAAAUCAACAAUUCAAUUAGCUCCAUAGGUUCGGUGUAAAAAUAGAAACUUUCAUUAUUGAGCCCGUUUCUCCCAUUACUUUCCACCAUUUUUUAAAAGCCAUAAACAUUUCAUAAAAACUUGAAUCAAAAUAAAACCAAUUCAUAAAACUUAAAUUAAAAGGACAAGACUAUUUACAGAUAAAAGUACUGCAAAUCUCUAAACCGCUCAAUUGAAAACAUCACAAUAAAACCAAUUCAUAAAAACAUAAAUUAAAAGGACAAGAUUAUUUACAGAUAAAAGUACUGCAAAUCUAUAAACCGCUCAAUUGAAAACAUCACAAUAAAACCAAUUUCAACAAAAUCCCCAAACAAUAAAUAAGCCUCGAAGCUGAAGCAAUUCAAAACCCUAAAAAUCAAUACAAAUCAAAUAGAGGCAGAGGUGCAGAGCAUAACAUAUUACUAAAAAAAAACCAAUAAUUAAACAUAAACAAUCAACAUGCUAGGAAAAACAUCGUACUUGAAAUUGAAAUGAUAUCAUAAAUUCACAAUUCUCAUCAGUGGACAGUGGGUUCACCAUUCAUGCGGUGCACUGCUACUAGCUCAAUCAGUAAACUCAGAUGACCGAUUUGGCAGGAAGGAAUUAGGGGGGAAGAACUGAAGAAGGGUUUGCUCUUCUUUGAUCUCUCUGGUUGCUGGUUUUGAUGGAAAGGAAAUCAAGAAUUGGGGGAAAAGAGAAAUCGAUUAUGAAAUUUGGACGACUGAACCUCUGCCUCUGGUAGUGGCUGUGGUAAGUAAUUUGGUUUUUUAACUAUGGGUGAUUUAGGCCAGCCUAACUUAAAAAAAAGGCCCAACAGUAUCACAGACAGAGCCAGGCGCAGGGGGUGAAAUUUGUCAUCACAGUUAGCGCGGCGCCUGGCAAUUUCGACGAAUCCAGGUAGGGCGGUUGCUCUAGAUGGCCACCACCUGAAUCCGCUACUGCUCUUGACCAGAAUAGAAGUCAAAGUUUCUCCUUCCCAUAUUGAGAGAGAGAGAGAGAGAGAG
rnacentral:lncRNA from 1 species